rnacentral:rRNA from 1 species
GUGGGGAAUUUUGGACAAUGGGCGCAAGCCUGAUCCAGCAAUGCCGCGUGCAGGAUGAAGGCCUUCGGGUUGUAAACUGCUUUUGUACGGAACGAAAAGCCCUGGGUUAAUACCCUGGGGUCAUGACGGUACCGUAAGAAUAAGCACCGGCUAACUACGUGCCAGCAGCCGCGGUAAUACGUAGGGUGCGAGCGUUAAUCGGAAUUACUGGGCGUAAAGCGUGCGCAGGCGGUUUUGUAAGACAGAGGUGAAAUCCCCGGGCUCAACCUGGGAACUGCCUUUGUGACUGCAAGGCUAGAGUACGGCAGAGGGGGAUGGAAUUCCGCGUGUAGCAGUGAAAUGCGUAGAUAUGCGGAGGAACACCGAUGGCGAAGGCAAUCCCCUGGACCUGUACUGACGCUCAUGCACGAAAGCGUGGGGAGCAAACAGGAUUAGAAACCCCUGUAGUCC